GCAAGGAACUGGUCGCCCGCUCCAGCGAUUACCUGGACGGACAACUGACCCUGGGUGAGAAGCUGCUGGCCCGCCAGCACCUGCUGUUCUGCAAAAACUGCCGACGCUUCAUCCGGCAGAUGCGCCUGACCCAGGCGACGAUCAAGGCGCUGCCGGAAGCACCAGUAGACGAUGUUGACGAAAUCGUCCAGCG
rnacentral:sRNA from 1 species